rfam:Triticum aestivum genome assembly, contig: Triticum_aestivum_CS42_TGACv1_scaffold_396441_5AS
GUCCCAAAAUUCUUGUCUUAGAUUUGUCUAGAUACGGAUGUAUCAAGUCACAUUUUAGUAUUAGAUACAUCCGUAUCUAGACAAAUCUAAGACAAGAAAUUUGGGAC